AACGCAUAUUGCGCUCGAGCCCUCGGGCAAGAGCAUGUCUGCCUCAGCGUCGGUUUAUACCAUCACCCCUCCCAUUUAUGGUCCGUUAACUCAGUGUUAACCAUAGGAGUGGAUCUGGCUUCCCCAAACCAUUGCUCAACGGAUUGGGUUAGCUGAAGCACAGAGGCUUAAACAAGGACCCGAUAAGGGCUUCAACUGGAUAGGUAGUAUCGGCUUUUGCCGCCUACACGAAGUUGUAGCUUGUGGACUUUGUUAGGGGCCAAGCAGGAAACAUGUUCACUACAUGUCUAAACUUUCGACUGAGCUCAGGCAAGGCUACCCGCUGAACUUAA
rnacentral:misc_RNA from 1 species